GCUUCUUUUUCCCCGGAGCUUGCUCCACCGGAAAAAGAAGAGUGGCGAACGGGUGAGUAACACGUGGGUAACCUGCCCAUCAGAAGGGGAUAACACUUGGAAACAGGUGCUAAUACCGUAUAACAAUCGAAACCGCAUGGUUUUGAUUUGAAAGGCGCUUUCGGGUGUCGCUGAUGGAUGGACCCGCGGUGCAUUAGCUAGUUGGUGAGGUAACGGCUCACCAAGGCCACGAUGCAUAGCCGACCUGAGAGGGUGAUCGGCCACAUUGGGACUGAGACACGGCCCAAACUCCUACGGGAGGCAGCAGUAGGGAAUCUUCGGCAAUGGACGAAAGUCUGACCGAGCAACGCCGCGUGAGUGAAGAAGGUUUUCGGAUCGUAAAACUCUGUUGUUAGAGAAGAACAAGGAUGAGAGUAACUGUUCAUCCCUUGACGGUAUCUAACCAGAAAGCCACGGCUAACUACGUGCCAGCAGCCGCGGUAAUACGUAGGUGGCAAGCGUUGUCCGGAUUUAUUGGGCGUAAAGCGAGCGCAGGCGGUUUCUUAAGUCUGAUGUGAAAGCCCCCGGCUCAACCGGGGAGGGUCAUUGGAAACUGGGAGACUUGAGUGCAGAAGAGGAGAGUGGAAUUCCAUGUGUAGCGGUGAAAUGCGUAGAUAUAUGGAGGAACACCAGUGGCGAAGGCGGCUCUCUGGUCUGUAACUGACGCUGAGGCUCGAAAGC
rnacentral:rRNA from 1 species